GAUGAACGCUGGCGGCGUGCUUAACACAUGCAAGUCGAACGGAAAGGCCUCUGCUUGCAGGGGUACUCGAGUGGCGAACGGGUGAGUAACACGUGGGUGAUCUGCCCUGCACUUCGGGAUAAGCCUGGGAAACUGGGUCUAAUACCGGAUAGGACAAUGGUUUGGAUGCUGUUGUGGAAAGUUUUUCGGUGUGGGAUGAGCUCGCGGCCUAUCAGCUUGUUGGUGGGGCAAUGGCCUACCAAGGCGUCGACGGGUAGCCGGCCUGAGAGGGUGUACGGCCACAUUGGGACUGAGAUACGGCCCAGACUCCUACGGGAGGCAGCAGUGGGGAAUAUUGCACAAUGGGCGCAAGCCUGAUGCAGCGACGCCGCGUGGGGGAUGACGGCCUUCGGGUUGUAAACUCCUUUCGCUAGGGACGAAGCGUUUUUGUGACGGUACCUGGAGAAGAAGCACCGGCUAACUACGUG
rnacentral:rRNA from 1 species